GGGGGUGAACGGUUUCGACGACGGCCGUUCAACCAGGGGAAGCGAGUCGAGGACGCACGGUCAUCUCGUCAACGAUCCGUGCAAACCCAUAGGUGCCGAUUCCAAGCGCACCGACUUCGCCCUCGCCGCCUGAGCGAGCGUAGAAGUCCGUCGGUCCCGGGGUGCUCUCGACCGGGUUGCCGGCGUCACCAAGAGAGCCACUGCUCGUAGCCUUCGUCAACGGGGCUGCGGGGACUUCUAGUUGACUGGGCUCGUCGGUCGGUUGUCAGCGACACGACCGGAGCCGAGCAGAACAGCAGCUGACUGCACUCGGAGAAGCCCUGGUUCCACACCGUCGGACGCGGGUUCGAUUCCCGCCACCUCCACC
rnacentral:tmRNA from 1 species